CCCAAGGGUGGAUCGCAAGUGCGCUGCCCUCCGAGCUCCGAUGUCAAGACUGGCACCCUUAACGCUCUGCCUGCUGCCUCUCGUCCUCCACCUCCUGUCGUACCAAGCUGCUACCGGCCAUGGCCUCCAAGGAGACAGGGCUGUAUGGGAUGGAGGAGGGUGUGAGCCACAGGAGAACCCCCGGGACCCUCAAUGCAAGCAGAUACAAGACACCAGGAAUACAGAUCCAAGAAAAAUUGAAAACGCAGAGACCGAAGUUACAAUCUUGAAAAUGUUUACACAACAUGAACAAGAACAACAGAAUUCAAAGGAGAGUAAUAAGGCAGUAA